AUCAGCAAUACAGGAGGUGCUCCCUUUCUGUGGAAAGCUAGAUGGAAGUAUCCUAGAAUGGCUGUUGAAGCCAGAUGUUUACUGGUCUCUUUGCAAGAGAUAUGGAAUCAGCAAGAGUGGUCAUUAGUAGAAGAUUGCUCAUAGUACAAGAAUCACAAUGGAGGGAAUUUAAAAUGGAUUCCAAUGAAAUUGUUUCAUCGAAAUUCGAAUACUUUUCCAAUGUCAAGGAUGCUUCACGAUUGUUUGAGGCUGGGGUAACUUUUUAUCUCUUCAAGAAUAGAAGUUCAGGAGCAAGAGUGCUACUACCUACCAGCAAAGCAGGUGGCACAAUCACUUUCCAUGGAAAGCUAAAUGAAGAACUGAAGCUUGAAUUGGUUUCAAAUUUCCAAUCUAAUUGUUUCAUUGAAAUUUGAGAUAAAAGGAGCAACAAAACCAAGAUAUAUUUAAAGGCAUAAAUACACUAUAAAAAUGGCUCUACUUGACUGCAUGCAAAGAAAUGGUGACAAACUAUAAGUCCUAUCAGCCCCUCUUUGAAGCUUCUCCAAGGUAAUUCCAACCAUGCCAUCAUGGUUUAAGCAUCCAACAUAAACUUGUGUCUUGGUCCUGGUGGUAGAGAGGUUUCUGGUUCAAAGUGGUUGCCUACCUCCUCAUCUACUACAUUUGGAAAGGAUCUUGACCCAGAAGGAAUAUGUUCAUCAUUACAAGAAAUGAGUUCCCACCAAAUUGAAGAAGGCCAAGAAUUUGAGACAUACUCUCAGCAGAAGAAACGUAAUCAGGAUGUUAGCACCACACCUUCUUGGGUUGUCAGGUUGGAUGAUGAUGAAGAUGAAGAAGAUCCUGAAUUCUAUGGAGCCCCAGCAUUUGAAUCAAGGCUGGCUCCUGAGGGGUACAAGGAAACCACUAGACAUAAUCCAAGAGCAAUACAUAAGAAUUUCAGGAAGCAUGUUUUGGAAAGCACUGUCAAUCUUACCAUUAAAAAUAAAAACAGAUGCCUACAAGUCUUAAAAGGACAUUAACUGAAACUGUAACUGAAAAUUUGGCAUCAGCUUUCGCUGCUGCGGUAUCAGAAAUUCAGAGUGCUUUCCACAAAUUUAUUGUCUCUGUUGCUACUGAAAGAGGAAAGCAAGAUAAUAAGGGUGAGCAAAUAUGGAUAUAAGGUUGUUUCAAUGAAAGAGUAUCUAAUGCAUAAACUUGAGCCCAGGGAAGAUGUGCUUUCUCCAGUGAUAUCCAAGGCAAUGAGUCCAAAGAGAGCUCCUGGUGAUAUGGGUGUGGUAUGAGGGAUGCUGUGACUUGCUCCAACAUGAAGAAUUGUCCAAAAACACAGCUAUGAGUUCAGUUAGAAACCGAACAUUGCCCAUGCCAAUUUCCACCAAUUUGCAUUCAGCUAAAGACUCGCCAUCGCACACUCAGAUCUCAGCCAAUGCUCAUAAUUUUUUUUUUUUUUUUUUGGGUGUCAAUUUUAUCCUGAAUGUAUAUGGAGACAUCUUAACGAGCUUCAAUUAGUUUUUCACUCCAAUGUACCAAUACUAAAAACCAUCACCAUUAGAAAUGCAUGAUCUGAUGCUAAUUAUUCUUUUGAA